rnacentral:misc_RNA from 1 species
UGGAGGACGGGAGCAUUUGAAGUGAGCAUCUGGAUUGCAUUAUGAUGUAAUUCAAUUCGAUGCAAAUGUAAUACUUUGAGAGAAUGAAGACCAAUGGACAUUGGCAGGUCCAGAUUACAGAAACACAGUACCAAUUUGACCAAUGAUUUGCAGUUGAAAACACAAGGAUGUAACUUAUAGCAUGGACCAAAUGCAGUAUUCCUUGCGAUAUUGGUA